CCAAACUUGGUCAUUUAGAGGAAGUAAAAGUCGUAACAAGGUCUCCGUUGGUGAACCAGCGGAGGGAUCAUUAUCGAGUUUCUACACUCCCAAACCCUUUGUGAACCUUACCCGUCGUUGCUUCGGCGGACGCGCCUCCAGGGGCCGGCCGCCGGGGGACCGAAACUCUUGAUUCCCGUUAGUGGUAUUCUCCUCUGAGUGGCACAAGCAAAAUAAAAUCAAAACUUUCAACAACGGAUCUCUUGGUUCUGGCAUCGAUGAAGAACGCAGC
rnacentral:misc_RNA from 1 species